AGUCAUAUGCUUGUCUCAAAGAUUAAGCCAUGCAUGUCUAAGUACAAGCCUCACUAAGGUGAAACCGCGAAUGGCUCAUUAAAUCACACCUAAUCUACUGGAUAGUAGUCAGUUACUCGGAUACCUGCGGUAAUUCUGCAGCUAAUACGUGCAAACAAGCCUCGACUUCGGAAGAGGCGCUUUUAUUAGAUCAAAACCGAUCGGCUUCNGCCGUCCUUUUGGUGAUUCUGAAUAACUUUGAGCUGAUCGCAUGGCCUCGAGCCGGCGACAUAUCCAUCGAAGGUGUGCCCUAUCAUCUGUCGACUGUGGCAUAGACGCCCACAGUGGAUUUGACGGGUAACGGGGAAUCAGGGUUCGAUUCCGGAGAGGGAGCCUUAAAAACGGCUACCACAUCCAAGGAAGGCAGCAGGCACGCAAAUUACCCAAUGACCGAAGGUCGAGGUAGUGACGAAAAAUAACGAUACGGGACUCAUCCGAGGCCCCGUAAUCGGAAUGAGUACACUUUAAAACCUUUCCAACGAGGAUCUAUU
rnacentral:rRNA from 1 species